CUAAUGGAGGGCACAGGCGCUAUUCCAACAGUACGAGUGGAAGGAAAUUCUUGGCAAUAGUUUUCUCACUAACCGCUUUGGCAGGUGAAAAAAAAAACAACAUUCCAAUCAAGGUGCUUUAGAGCCAAAGAUGUGAGGAACGACAGCAAAAUUCCUCUGCUCCUGGAGUGAGUAACACAGAAUGAGGUGCUCUGCUUAUAGACAGGCCAUAAAACACACUGAUUCAUGGGAAAUAUGGCAGCCGGGUUUUAACCUCAGGAAUUCUCAUAACGAGUAACGAGCUCUUCCAGACCACAGGGGGGUGACCUGCUCUGCCAAAGGAAGAGUGAGCGUGUCUCCGGAGGGGAAUUCCGCUUCCAGCCGCUGGAAGGACCCAGCAACUCUGAGUUUAGCAAAGGCGAGAGCAGAAGAAGGAGGUUUGAAAAGGCAAACUGCUUCCCCCCUCCGCAGGAUCGGCCGGAAGGAGGCACGGGGGUCGGGGCAGUGGGGUACUGCCGGAGCCGGGAAGUCUUUCUCCACGUUUUCGUCCAGCAGAGACAUCCUGAGCACCUCCUGUGCACCACGUAUUAUUCAAGGCCCGGGAGACACGGCAGUGAACAAAGCGAAAACCCCUUCCCUGCGGAGCUUGGAUUCUAGCGGUGGCGGGUCCUGAAGUGAAAUAUACAGCAUGGUGAACAAUGCUAAGCACCGUGGGGAAAAGUAAGACACAGAAGGGGGCUAAGACGUGCUGAACGAGGGGUGCAGGGGGUGUUCACACGAGAAGACCUCGCUAAGAAGACCCGAGAUCCGCGUGAGCUCUGGUACGUUGCGACAGAGGAGGAAGGUGAGAAACGCCCGCGGCUUCCCAAACCAACCCUGCAGCCUGCUCAGCUUGUAACUUCGCUGGACUCUUUUCUUCUGAUUCAGAAAAGAUUCUAAAUUCAAAUAAGCCUAAAAGAUACAGAGUCAAAGGAAGGCAGGAAUGAGGAGAGAGGAAUUCGAGUCCCUCUGCGCUGCUCUCCACUCUGUGGGGUGUCAGCCCAGACGGGGUACGCAAACCUCCGGGCCGCAAGCUUCGUGUUUUAAGGUGGGCGGUGGGUACAGGUAGGGGCAGGGGCGGGAGACGUGGUCAGAGGGACACGGCUGUCUUGUUAUGUUAUGCCGUUUAUGACUCACCAAAGAACGUCCGCGACAUAGCGCAUUCGUAAAUUAAAACUCCGUACACGCGUGCCUUACUUUUCCGAGUGUAACUGUCACUAUCCCCGUGACCCCCUUUAUCUUUCACAAACCUUUUAGACUAAAAUAAGAUUCCGUGGAAAAGAGAACACGUGACAGGAAGAACGCCGCCUCUGAAAGAAAUUCUACCUCUGUCUCCCCCAGGAAUUGUGCAGCUUGCUAGGUUCCAACACGGCAAGGUGCCACCUCCUGCCAAAAUAUGCAGAAGGCUCAAGUAGAAAUUAAAUUAAAAUCAAUACGCUUGAGGUUGGCUCUGGAGAAAACUAACAAGCCCGAAUGGUGUUAAGGAAGCUUCUCGGGUAAUUAGGAGGGAAAUCAUUAUGCGAGGAUGAAAUGGAGUCUCAGCGCCCAUCUGGACAGUUAGUUGCCCGCCAGUGUUGAUGGACGAUGCCUCGCAACUCUCAAACUUCUGUCUCUGCAGAUUCGUGGCACAUGGCGCUUUCCUCUGCGCGGCAGGCCUGCUGGCUGGCUGGCAAGACUACGCAUGUGAAGGCUUCUCAAAAUAUCACUGGAUGAGAAAAAGGAGGGGUCUGGCACCGGUGACACUCUGCGAACCUCAAGAAGAGUUUUGUGUACGUUCCCGCCUGUGCCGGGCCCACAGGUGAUUCAUUCUGCAGAGGCAGUGACUGUGCUAAGGAAACUGGCCCCGCUGGCGUAAGCACACGCCUCCCCGUCCCGAGCCCCCGAGAGACAUGAGCUCAGCCCGAAGGACGAGUCCAGAAAAUGAGAAGAAUAAACACGCCACGCUAGGAGGCCACCGGAGCAACGCCGGCAUCGCAGAUGCUGUCUACAUACAUCUUCUCACGGAAGAAUUCGACUCACGUUUUCAUUAGAGCCACCGGUGAGAAUUAAUCAACAAAAUUCUGGGGGAAAUAAAAGGAAAACAAAGCGA